rnacentral:pre_miRNA from 1 species
AGUGGGAUAGCUGGGUCAAAUGGUAGUUCCAUUCCCAGUUUUCCAAGCAAUCUUCAUACUGCUUUCUAGAUUGGCUGCACCAAUCUGCAGUCCCAUCAGCAAU